rnacentral:rRNA from 1 species
UUUGUUGUUUUGUAGGGCACACGGUGGAUGCCUUGGCAUAUCAAGCCGAUGAAGGACGUGAGAGGCUGCGUUAUGCCUCGGGGAGUUGCCAACUAAGCGUUGAUCCGAGGAUGUCCGAAUGGGGAAACCCAGCCGCAGUGAUGUGUGGUUACCUGCCAGUGAAUGUAUAGCUGGUGUGGAGGUUGACACGGGGAAGUGAAACAUCUCAGUACCCGUAGGAGAAGAAAACAAUUGUGAUUCCGUUAGUAGUGGCGAGCGAACGUGGAUGAUGGCUAAAACUUAUGUGUGUGAUACCCGGCAGGGGUUGCAUGUAGGUGGUUGUGGGGCAAUGACGUUCAUAUUCUGCCGGAUGUGGGCAUGUGCUGCGUGGUUAGUGGAAGUGGUGUGGAAACACCUGCCGUAGAAGGUGAGAGUCCUGUACACGAAGAUCAUGGUGGUGUGUGUGGUUGUUGAUACCCCGAGUAGCAGCGGGCUCGUGGAAUCUGCUGUGAAUUAGCCGGGACCACCCGGUAAGCCUGAAUACUUGAUAUGACCGAUAGCGGAUUAGUACCGUGAGGGAAUGGUGAAAAGUACCCCGGGAGGGGAGUGAAAUAGUACCUGAAACCGUGUGCUGUCAAUCCGUCAGAGCACCCGUUUGUGGUGUGAUGGCGUGCCUUUUGAAGAAUGAGCCUGCGAGUCAGCGGCAUGUCGCGAGGUUAACCCGUGUGGGGUAGUCGUAGGGAAACCGAAUCCUAACGAGGGUGUUUUUAGUGGCAUGUCUUGGACCCGAAGCGGAGUGAUCUACCCAUGGCCAGUGUGAAGCAGCUGUAAGAGGUUGUGGAGGCGCGAACCCACUUAGGUUGAAAACUGAGGGGAUGAGUUGUGGGUAGGGGUGAAAGGCCAAUCAAACUCCGUGAUAGCUGGUUCUCCCCGAAAUGCAUUUAGGUGCAGCGUCGUGUGUUUCUUGCCGGAGGUAGAGCUACUGGAUGGUUUAGCGGGACCAACAUCUUAGCGACAUCAGCCAAACUCCGAAUGCCGGUAAGUUAGAGCACGGCAGUGAGACUGCGGGGGAUAAGCUUCGUAGUCGAGAGGGAAACAGCCCAGAUCGCCGGCUAAGGCCCCUAAGGGUGUGCUAAGUGGAAAAGGAGGUGGGGUCGCGAAGACAGCCAGGAGGUUGGCUUAGAAGCAGCCAUCCUUGAAAGAGUGCGUAAUAGCUCACUGGUCGAGUGAUUCCGCGCCGACAAUGUAGUGGGGCUUAAGUACACCGCCGAAGCCGCGGCAAUGAUCCUUUUGGAUUGUUGGGUAGGGGAGCGUCGUGCAUGCGUUGAAGCUUUGGGGUGACCUUGGGUGGAGUGUGUGCGAGUGAGAAUGCAGGCAUGAGUAACGAAUGAUGCGUGAGAAACGUAUCCGCCGGAUGACUAAGGGUUCCUGGGUCAAGUUAAUCUUCCCAGGGUGAGUCGGGGCCUAAGGCGAGGCCGACAGGCGUAG